rnacentral:rRNA from 1 species
UAUUGGUCAAUGGGCGAGAGCCUGAACCAGCCAAGUCGCGUGAAGGAUGAAGGAUCUAUGGUUUGUAAACUUCUUUUAUAUGGGAAUAAAGUGAGGAACGUGUUCCUUUUUGUAUGUACCAUAUGAAUAAGCAUCGGCUAACUCCGUGCCAGCAGCCGCGGUAAUACGGAGGAUGCGAGCGUUAUCCUGAUUUAUUGGUUUUAAAGGGUGCGUAUGUAGUUAAGUAAGUCAGCGGUGAAAGUUUGUGGCUCAACCAUAAAAUUGCCGUUGAAACUGGUUGACUUGAGUAUAUUUUAGGUAGGCGGAAUGCGUGGUGUAGCGGUGAAAUGCAUAGAUAUCACGCAGAACUCCGAUUGCGAAGGCAGCUUACUAAACUAUAACUGACACUGAAGCACGAAAGCGUUGGGAUCAAACAGG